rnacentral:rRNA from 1 species
GACGAACGCUGGCGGCGUGCCUAAUACAUGCAAGUCGAACGCACAGUUUAUACCGUAGCUUGCUACACCAUAGACUGUGAGUUGCGAACGGGUGAGUAACGCGUAGGUAACCUGCCUGGUAGCGGGGGAUAACUAUUGGAAACGAUAGCUAAUACCGCAUAAUAUUAAUUAUUGCAUGAUAAUUAAUUGAAAGGUGCAAUUGCACCACUACCAGAUGGACCUGCGUUGUAUUAGCUAGUAGGUGAGGUAACGGCUCACCUAGGCGACGAUACAUAGCCGACCUGAGAGGGUGGUCGGCCACACUGGGACUGAGACACGGCCCAGACUCCUACGGGGGGCAGCAGUAGGGAAUCUUCGGCAAGGGGCGAAAGUCUGACCGAGCAACGCCGCGUGAGUGAAGAAGGUUUUCGGAUCGUAAAGCUCUGUUGUAAGAGAAGAACGGGUGUGAGAGUGGAAAGUUCACACUGUGACGGUAGCUUACCAGAAAGGGACGGCUAACUACGUG